AAACUCGUCGAUGCUAUGGCAGAUGACGGAAUGAGAACGUCAAAUGUACAUGCAGAUUGAUGAGAUGCAAAAACGAGAAAAAGUUGGACUACAUAGUGUAACCAAUGUCAUGCUACUAUUGUAAAUUUUGAAAUUUCUGCUUAUAAUUACUAAAUUUAGCUACAUUUAUUAUAUAAAUAUUAAUCCUAACGAGGCAAACUUUGUGAAUUCGCCUAGCUUACCUAUACUAGAACUAGUUGAUCUGAAGAUUGGAAUUGUUAAUUGAUCCGAAGCAACUAGAAAAUAGGUUGAAGCGUAAAGGAAGUCUAAGGGAGAAGAACCCGUGAGCAAGAAGAAGUAGGAAGAACAGUGAUUAAACUAAACGUAGGUCGGUCAAUGAAAUCAAUAAUGAAUUAGACUAAUCGAUGAAUUUCUAGGAAAUUUUUAAUGCUCGCCAAUAAACAUUAAAAAAUCGGAAUCCUCUGCUCUCUUCCUCUUCAAUCCCGUUGACGGAGCGUCAACAAUUUAAAAAUUUCGUUUAUCUCCCACACCGAUUCGGCGAUGCUUGGGCGAACGCCAAUCAAGACGAGGAGCGCCGCGGCGGCUCGUGAUGGUCGGUCUGCAGCUGGGUCUUCACGAGAAGACAUCGUGCGUAACGAUGGAAAUCAACACUGCAAAGCCUGCACCGACGAGGACAACACUCGAAUGGUCCAGUGCGAUAAAUGCGACGACUGGUACCAUUUCGAGUGCGUAGAAGUCAGCCGAGGUGUCGCAGACCGUGAUUGGCACUGUCCUAUCUGCCAGUCUGCCGAAAAAGGAGCAAAGAAGAAACAUUCGACUAAGGUGGCCUCUAAAGAGUCGAUCGUGAGUACGUCAGCUCCCAUAAAUCCCGCUAUUAGAGUUACAUCAGUCCCAUUGAACGUUGUUCCCCAAAUCCCGACAAAUUUAUCUGACUUGCCCUAUGAAACAAGAAGUGAUGUUAACAAGUCUGUGUUAACUCAUGUUGCCUCGAAUAUGAUAUUUCCGCCUGUUUCUGCCAAUAAAGCUAACAAUACGUUAAAUCCACAAAAUCCCUACGCUGUAAACAGUACCGCUCUCCCUUCAAAUAUGCUGUUACCACCAAGCAUAUUCACCCUCGCCGGUAGUUCUGUAUCGUCUAACCCGGCUUAUACGUUCAUGUCGUCGAAUUCGUUAGUACAGUCAACAGCGCCAGCGUGCACUCUCAAUGCCUUUCCGAGGAUGACUGAUAUCAGGCAGGGCCUUCCGAUAGUUUCUAGGCCCCAGCCGACACCAACAG